rnacentral:rRNA from 1 species
GAUCAUGGCUCAGGAUGAACGCUGGCGGCGUGCUUUAACACAUGCAAGUCGAACGAAGAUGCCGGAGUGCUUGCACUUUGGCAGACUGAGUGGCGGACGGGUGAGUAACGCGUGGGUAACCUGCCUUAUACAGGGGGAUAACAGUUGGAAACGACUGCUAAUACCGCAUAAGCGCACGGUAUCGCAUGAUACAGUGUGAAAAACUCCGGUGGUAUAAGAUGGACCCGCGUCUGAUUAGCUAGUUGGUGAGGUAACGGCCCACCAAGGCGACGAUCAGUAGCCGGCCUGAGAGGGUGAACGGCCACAUUGGGACUGAGACACGGCCCAAACUCCUACGGGAGGCAGCAGUGGGGAAUAUUGCACAAUGGGGGAAACCCUGAUGCAGCGACGCCGCGUGGAGGAAGAAGGUCUUCGGAUUGUAAACUCCUGUUGUUGAGGAAGAUAAUGACGGUACUCAACAAGGAAGUGACGGCUAACUACGUG